CCGGGGGUGGAGUAACGCGUGGAUAACCUGCCUCACACUGGGGGAUAACAGUUAGAAAUGACUGCUAAUACCGCAUAAGCGCACAGUACCGCAUGGUACAGUGUGAAAAACUCCGGUGGUGUGAGAUGGAUCCGCGUCUGAUUAGCCAGUUGGCGGGGUAACGGCCCACCAAAGCGACGAUCAGUAGCCGACCUGAGAGGGUGACCGGCCACAUUGGGACUGAGACACGGCCCAA
rnacentral:rRNA from 1 species